AGAUUGAACGCUAGCGGGAUGCUUUACACAUGCAAGUCGAACGGCAGCGCGGACUUCGGUCUGGCGGCGAGUGGCGAACGGGUGAGUAAUAUAUCGGAACGUGCCCAGUAGCGGGGGAUAACUACGCGAAAGCGUGGCUAAUACCGCAUACGCCCUACGGGGGAAAGGGGGGGAUCGCAAGACCUCUCACUAUUGGAGCGGCCGAUAUCAGAUUAGCUAGUUGGUGAGGUAAAGGCUCACCAAGGCGACGAUCUGUAGCUGGUUUGAGAGGACGACCAGCCACACUGGGACUGAGACACGGCCCAGACUCCUACGGGAGGCAGCAGUGGGAAUUUGGACAAUGGGCGAAAGCCUGAUCCAGCAAUGCCGCGUGCGAGG
rnacentral:rRNA from 1 species